GUCUAGUGGUAGUGAAGAAAUCCAUACAGGAAUACCAGAUACGGAGUAGAGCUGAGAAAACUCUGUCCUGGAACUGAGUCUGGGGCCUAGAUGAAAGGCCCUGCAGCAGCUCAAAUGGUAGUCAAGGCAGAUGUAAGAUCUGAAAGGAGGCACUUCUGUUGGAUGAGAUGGUGUAUUUUUUAAAUAAGCAAUUCUGAGUUAAAGGACUGACAGACAUUAACAUGGAUGCAAGACAAGGAAUCUCUCUAAAAUGGGCAGAGUAUGCAAGUGAGAGAAUGGUGAAAGCAAGGAAAAAGGAAAGACUUGAUAUGGGACCAGAACUUCAUCUGAGAGAUGAUGUUCAACUCCUAAUAAGACCUGUCUGCAAAAUGAUAGAAGCCACC
rnacentral:lncRNA from 1 species